rnacentral:rRNA from 1 species
UUGCCUCUUGGUCUGGGACAACUGUUGGAAACGACAGCUAAUACCGGAUAUUAUGAGAUUCUCGCAUGGGAAACUUAUGAAAGCUAUAUGCGCCAAGAGAGAGCCUUGCGUUCCAUUAGCUAGUUGGUGGGGUAACGGCCCACCAAGGCGACGAUGGAUGGCCGGCCUGAGAGGGUGAACGGCCACAAGGGGACUGAGACACGGCCCUUACUCCUACGGGAGGCAGCAGUGGGGAAUAUUGGACAAUGGGCCACAAGCCUGAUCCAGCAAUUCUGUGUGCACGAUGAAGGUCUUCGGAUUGUAAAGUGCUUUCAGUUGGGAAGAAGAAAGUGACGGUACCAACAGAAGAAGCGACGGCUAAAUACGUGCCAGCAGCCGCGGUAAUACGUAUGUCGCAAGCGUUAUCCGGAUUUAUUGGGCGUAAAGCGCGUCUAGGCGGAAAAAUAAGUCUGAUGUUAAAAUGCGGGGCUCAACUCCGUAUUGCGUUGGAAACUGUUUUUCUAGAGUACUGGAGAGGUGGGCGGAACUACAAGUGUAGAGGUGAAAUUCGUAGAUAUUUGUAGGAAUGCCGAUGGAGAAGUCAGCUCACUGGACAGAUACUGACGCUGAAGCGCGAA